CGUGAGAAUCUGCCUUCAGGACUGGGACAACCACUGGAAACGGUGGCUAAUACCAGAUAUGCAGUGAGUGAAAAGGUUUAUUCCGCCUGAAGAUGAGCUCGCGUCAGAUUAGCUAGUUGGUGAGGUAACGGCUUACCAAGGCAUUGAUCUGUAGCUGGUCUGAGAGGAUGACCAGCCACACUGGGACUGAGAGACGGCCCAGACUCCUACGGGAGGCAGCAGUGAGGAAUUUUCCGCAAUGGGCGCAAGCCUGACGGAGUAAUACCGCGUGCGGGAGGAAGGUCUAUUGACUGUAAACCGCUUUUAUUAAGAAAGAAUUCUGACGGUACUUAAUGAAUAAGCCUCGGCUAACUCCGUGCCAGCAGCCGCGGUAAUACGGAGGAGGCAAGCGUUAUCCGGAAUUAUUGGGCGUAAAGCGUCCGUAGGUGGUUUUGCAAGUCGGCUGUCAAAGCCCGUGGCUCAACCACGGAAAGGCAGUGGAAACUACAAGACUGGAGUGCAGUAGGGGCAGAGGGAAUUCCCAGUGUAGCGGUGAAAUGCGUAGAGAUUGGGAAGAACACCCGUGGCGAAAGCGCUCUGCUGGACUGCAACUGACACUAAGGGACGAAAGCUAGGGGAGCGAAUGGGAUUAGAUACCCCAGUAGUCCUAGCCGUA
rnacentral:rRNA from 1 species